UGUACAGAGCCCGAUCCACCCUGCAAGUGCAAUUUGUUAAAUAAAGUGUGAGGAGCACUACUAGCAACAAGGUUGAGUUGGAAAGUCUAUGAUUCAUUUAAUAAGCAAAAACAUUUCAGAUUGAUAAAAUUUUAGUUUUCUGGCAUUAGUUUGAAGUGUGAACUUGGGGAUGUUGCGCAUAAACAAGAUAAAACAUCAUAUUGAGCUGUUGAAGCUUUGGCUGUGUUCAAAGUUUCAGUUAGAACAUUUAUUCCAUUUUCAAGAGAGCGAAGUCAUCUUCUCAAAAUUUGAUCUUCUUUGAAAUUUUAUCAGAUUCCAAAACUUUUGAUUAAAAUAGGGUAUUCAGAAUGUUUGAAAUUGCUUGGAAAUGAAUUGUAAAAGUUAAAAACCUUAUUAAAGUGGAGAUCAUAUUCACUUUCACAUUUCAAUCCCACGCAUGAGACUAACCAAGAAUGACAUACCAUACAAUUGAAAUGU
rnacentral:misc_RNA from 1 species